rnacentral:rRNA from 1 species
ACACAUGCAGUCGAACGGCAGCAUGGGCUUCGGCCUGAUGGCGAGUGGCGGACGGGUGAGUAAAGCGUAGGAACCUAUCCUUUUGUGGGGGACAACCCAGGGAAACUUGGGCUAAUACCGCAUAAGUCCUGAGGGAGAAAGCGGGGGAUCUUCGGACCUCGUGCUGAAGGAGGGGCCUACGUCCGAUUAGCUAGUUGGUAGGGUAAAGGCCUACCAAGGCGACGAUCGGUAGCUGGUCUGAGAGGACGAUCAGCCACACUGGGACUGAGACACGGCCCAGACUCCUACGGGAGGCAGCAGUGGGGAAUUUUUCGCAAUGGGGGCAACCCUGACGAAGCAAUGCCGCGUGAAUGAAGAAGGCCUUCGGGUUGUAAAGUUCUUUCGUGGGGGACGAGAAGGUGGAUCCUAAUAUGGUCUGCUGUUGACGUGAACCCAAGAAGAAGCACCGGCUAACUCCGUGCCAGCAGCCGCGGUAAUACGGAGGGUGCGAGCGUUAAUCGGAAUUACUGGGCGUAAAGGGCGCGUAGGCGGUUGGUUACGUCUGCCGUGAAAUCCCCGGGCUCAACCUGGGAAUGGCGGUGGAAACGGGCUGACUAGAGUAUGGGAGAGGGUGAUGGAAUUCCAGGUGUAGCGGUGAAAUGCGUAGAGAUCUGGAUGAACAUCAGUGGCGAAUGCGGUCACCUGGCCCAAUACUGACGCUGAAGCGCGAAAGCGUGGGGAGCAAACACGAAUUAGAUACCCUGGUAAUCCUCGCCCUUAAACGAAGGAUACUAGAUGUUUGGUGGCCUUAGUGCUGAGUGGUCGUACCU